AGCAGCCGCGGUAAUUCCAGCUCCAAUAGCGUAUAUUAAAGUUGUUGCAGUUAAAAACUCGUAGUUGAAUUUCGGGGUUAGUAGGUUGGUCAUGCCUCUGGUAUGUACUGGUCUCACUGAUUCCUCCUUCCUGAUGAAUCUUAAUGCCAUUAAUUUGGUGUUUUGGGGAAUUUGGACUGUUACUUUGAAAAAUUAGAGUGUUUAAAGCAAGCUAACGCUUGAAUACGUUAGCAUGGAAUAAUGAAAUAGGACGUUCGAUCCUAUUUUGUUGGUUUCUAGGAUUGACGUAAUGAUUAAUAGGGAUAGUUGGGGGCAUUAGUAUUCAAUUGUCAGAGGUGAAAUUCUUGGAUUUAUUGAAGACUAACUACUGCGAAAGCAUUUGCCAAGGAUGUUUUCAUUAAUCAAGAACGAAAGUUAGGGGAUCGAAGACGAUCAGAUACCGUCGUAGUCUUAACCAUGAACUAUGCCGACUAGGGAUCGGAUGAUGUUAAUUUUUUAAUGACUCA
rnacentral:rRNA from 1 species